GUUCGCAUUGGUGCUCUUGAACAUGACUUCCAGGAACAAACCAUACAUGGAGCAUAUCCUCUACGGGAGGACCAAGAGAUUGAGUCAUAAACUGAAGGGACACUACCGCAAUGUUACCAUCUUGCUGGGCCUCCCAGCUAAGCACAUCUUUACUGAUCCCUGGGUGGAGUGUGUUAAUUAAUGACUGGCAUAAGGCAGUGCCUCCCAUCUGUGCACAUCUUGUUCUUCUGUUGCUUCAUCCCAAUCUACAACCCAGCUUCAUCAGCAGCGGCAAUGCCAUUGAGAGAUCUGGGAAACCCUUCUCAAAACACAGGGCUCCCAAUUGUUUGUGAAAUGGUUUUCCAC
rnacentral:lncRNA from 1 species